rnacentral:rRNA from 1 species
UACGGGGGGAGCAAGCGUUGUUCGGAUUUACUGGGCGUAAAGGGCGCGUAGGCGGUAGCACAAGUCAGUUGUGAAAUCUCCGGGCUUAACUCGGAAAGGUCAACUGAUACUGUGCGACUAGAGUGCAGAAGGGGCAACUGGAAUUCUCGGUGUAGCGGUGAAAUGCGCAGAUAUCAGGAAGAACACCAAUGGCGAAAGCAGCUCUCUGGGACGGUACUGACGCUGAGACGCGAAAGCGUGGGGAGCGAACAGG